rnacentral:piRNA from 1 species
UGCCCUAGCAGACGACAGAGCACAGC